UAGAGGGUGCGAACGUUGCUCGGAAUUACUGGGCGUAAAGCGCGUGUAGGCGGACAAUCAAGUCGCGUGUGAAAGCCCCCGGCUCAACUGGGGAGGGUCACGCGAUACUGAUCGACUCGAAGGCAGGAGAGGGAAGUGGAAUUCCCGGUGUAGUGGUGAAAUGCGUAGAUAUCGGGAGGAACACCAGUGGCGAAGGCGACUUCCUGGCCUGCUCUUGACGCUGAGGCGCGAAAGCUAGGGGAGCAAACGGG
rnacentral:rRNA from 1 species